GAUGAACGCUGCGGCGCGCCUAAUACAUGCAAGUCGAGCGGACCAAAGAGAGCUUGCUCUCUGAGGUUAGCGGCGGACGGGUGAGUAACACGUGGGUAACCUGCCUGUAAGACGGGGUUAACUUCGGGAAACCGAAGCUAAUACCGGAUGAUAAAGAGAAACGCCUGUUACUUCUUUGAAAGUCGGCCUUGUGUUUACGCAGACAGAUGGGCCUGCGGCGCAUUCGCGAGUUGGAGAGGUAACGGCUCACCAAGGCGACGAUGCGUAGCCGACCUGGGAGGGUGAUCGGCCACGCUGGGACUGAGACACAGCCCAGACUCCUACGGGAGGCAGCAGUAGGGAAUCGUCGGCAAUGGACGAAAGUCUGACCGAGCAACUCCGCGUGAGCGAUGAAGGCCUUCGGGUCGUAAAGCUCUGUUGUCAGAGAAGAACAAGUUCCGGAGUAACUGCCGGUACCUUGACGGUACCUGACCAGAAAGCCACGGCUAACUACGUGCCAGCCGCCGCAGUAACAC
rnacentral:rRNA from 1 species